GUAGGCAGCGAGCGUUGUUCGGAGUUACUGGGCGUAAAGAGUGCGUAGGCGGUUUUCUAAGUUUGGUGUGAAAUCUCCCGGCUCAACUGGGAGGGUGCGCCGAAGACUGGAAGGCUAGAGUAUGGGAGAGGUAAGCGGAAUUCCUGGUGUAGCGGUGAAAUGCGUAGAUAUCAGGAGGAACACCUGCGGUGUAGACGGCUUACUGGACCAUCACUGACGCUGAGGCACGAAAGCGUGGGUAGCAAACAGGAUUAGAUACCCUGGUAGUCCACGCCCUAAACGAUGCAUACUUGGUGUGGGUAGUUCAUUCUAUCCGUGCCGGAGSKAACGCGUUAAGUAUGCCGCCUGGGGAGUACGGUCGCAAGGCUG
rnacentral:rRNA from 1 species